GGCCGUGUGGUGUAGUGGUAGCAUACUUGCUUUGGGUUCUUCCUCCUGCUCAAUGAGCUUGCAAGUGGUCCCAGGUUCGAGCCCUGGCUCGGCCC